rnacentral:lncRNA from 1 species
UUACGACUAUAUAAGAGAAGAGAUUUAUAUUUAAUUUUCCGUUAGAAAAUGAGCAUGGCAAUUUUAACUAUUGUUCAUCAAACGGGUUAAAACAGUAACUUCAUACUAUAAAACCCACCAUAUCAGCCACCGCCAUCACUAUCGGAUUUUCAACGUUACAGAGUUCUCCACCACCGUCGACGUUGCAUCCGCCAGAUCCGCCACCGC